rnacentral:rRNA from 1 species
UGAGGAAUAUUGGUCAAUGGACGAGAGUCUGAACCAGCCAAGUAGCGUGCAGGAUGACGACCCUAUGGGUUGUAAACUGCUUUUAUAAGGGAAUAAAGUGAGUCUCGUGAGACUUUUUGCAUGUACCUUAUGAAUAAGGACCGGCUAAUUCCGUGCCAGCAGCCGCGGUAAUACGGAAGGUCCGGGCGUUAUCCGGAUUUAUUGGGUUUAAAGGGAGCGUAGGCCGGAGAUUAAGCGUGUUGUGAAAUGUAGACGCUCAACGUCUGCACUGCAGCGCGAACUGGUUUCCUUGAGUACGGACAAAGUGGGCGGAAUUCGUGGUGUAGCGGUGAAAUGCUUAGAUAUCACGAAGAACUCCGAUUGCGAAGGCAGCUCACUGGAGCGCAACUGACGCUGAAGCGCGAAAGUGCGGGUAUCGAACA